rnacentral:tRNA from 1 species
AUUAAUGAAGCAAAACUGGAUCUGCAAGAGACCUAAGCUCUCUUAUUAAGGGGUUCAAGUCCCCUCAUUAAUU